rnacentral:rRNA from 1 species
GGCUUCGGCCUUAGUGGCGCACGGGUGCGUAACGCGUGGGAAUCUGCCCUUGGGUUCGGAAUAACAGUGAGAAAUUACUGCUAAUACCGGAUGAUGACUUCGGUCCAAAGAUUUAUCGCCCAAGGAUGAGCCCGCGUAAGAUUAGCUAGUUGGUGAGGUAAAGGCUCACCAAGGCGACGAUCUUUAGCUGGUCUGAGAGGAUGAUCAGCCACACUGGGACUGAGACACGGCCCAGACUCCUACGGGAGGCAGCAGUGGGGAAUAUUGGACAAUGGGCGAAAGCCUGAUCCAGCAAUGCCGCGUGAGUGAUGAAGGCCUUAGGGUUGUAAAGCUCUUUUACCAGGGAUGAUAAUGACAGUACCUGGAGAAUAAGCUCCGGCUAACUCCGUGCCAGCAGCCGCGGUAAUACGGAGGGAGCUAGCGUUGUUCGGAAUUACUGGGCGUAAAGCGCACGUAGGCGGCCAUUCAAGUCAGAGGU